rnacentral:rRNA from 1 species
GAUGAACGCUGGCGGCGUGCUUAACACAUGCAAGUCGAACGAGAAGUGAAGACGGAAACCUUCGGGCGGAAGGCUUUAUUUCGAGUGGCGGACGGGUGAGUAGCGCGUGGGUAACCUGCCUCAUACAGGGGGAUAACAGUUGGAAACGACUGUUAAUACCGCAUAAGACCACAGCACCGCAUGGUGCGGGGGUAAAAACUCCGGUGGUAUGAGAUGGACCCGCGUUCGAUUAGCCAGUUGGCGGGGUAACGGCCCACCAAAGCGACGAUCGAUAGCCGAUCUGAGAGGAUGACCGGCCACAUUGGGACUGAGACACGGCCCAAACUCCUACGGGAGGCAGCAGUGGGGAAUAUUGCACAAUGGGGGAAACCCUGAUGCAGCGACGCCGCGUGAGUGAAGAAGUAUUUCGGUAUGUAAAGCUCUAUCAGCAGGGAAGAAAAUGACGGUACCUGAGUAAGAAGCCCCGGCUAACUACGUG